rnacentral:rRNA from 1 species
GACGAACGCUGGCGGCGUGCUUAACACAUGCAAGUCGAACGGAAAGGCCCUGCUUUUGUGGGGUGCUCGAGUGGCGAACGGGUGAGUAACACGUGAGUAACCUGCCCUUGACUUUGGGAUAACUUCAGGAAACUGGGGCUAAUACCGGAUAGGAGCUCCUGCUGCAUGGUGGGGGUUGGAAAGUUUCGGCGGUUGGGGAUGGACUCGCGGCUUAUCAGCUUGUUGGUGGGGUAGUGGCUUACCAAGGCUUUGACGGGUAGCCGGCCUGAGAGGGUGACCGGCGACAUUGGGACUGCGAUACGGCCCAGACGCCUACGGGAGGCAGCAGUGGGGAAUAUUGCACAGUGGGCGGAAGCGUGAGGCAGCAACGCCGCGUGCGGGAUGACGGCCUUCGGGUUGUAAACCGCUGUCGCCUGUGACGAAGCGUGAGUGACGGUAAUGGGUAAAGAAGCACCGGCUAACUACGUG